GAGCGAACAGACGAGGAGCUUGCUCCUCUGACGUUAGCGGCGGACGGGUGAGUAACACGUGGAUAACCUACCUAUAAGACUGGGAUAACUUCGGGAAACCGGAGCUAAUACCGGAUAAUAUAUUGAACCGCAUGGUUCAAUAGUGAAAGACGGUUUUGCUGUCACUUAUAGAUGGAUCCGCGCCGCAUUAGCUAGUUGGUAAGGUAACGGCUUACCAAGGCGACGAUGCGUAGCCGACCUGAGAGGGUGAUCGGCCACACUGGAACUGAGACACGGUCCAGACUCCUACGGGAGGCAGCAGUAGGGAAUCUUCCGCAAUGGGCGAAAGCCUGACGGAGCAACGCCGCGUGAGUGAUGAAGGUCUUCGGAUCGUAAAACUCUGUUAUUAGGGAAGAACAAAUGUGUAAGUAACUAUGCACGUCUUGACGGUACCUAAUCAGAAAGCCACGGCUAACUACGUGCCAGCAGCCGCGGUAAUACGUAGGUGGCAAGCGUUAUCCGGAAUUAUUGGGCGUAAAGCGCGCGUAGGCGGUUUUUUAAGUCUGAUGUGAAAGCCCACGGCUCAACCGUGGAGGGUCAUUGGAAACUGGAAAACUUGAGUGCAGAAGAGGAAAGUGGAAUUCCAUGUGUAGCGGUGAAAUGCGCAGAGAUAUGGAGGAACACCAGUGGCGAAGGCGACUUUCUGGUCUGUAACUGACGCUGAUGUGCGAAAGCGUGGGGAUCAAACAGGAUUAGAUACCUGGUAGUCCACGCCGUAAACGAUGAGUGCUAAGUGUUAGGGGGUUUCCGCCCCUUAGUGCUGCAGCUAACGCAUUAAGCACUCCGCCUGGGAAGUACGACCGCAAGGUUG
rnacentral:rRNA from 1 species